GAUGAACGCUGGCGGCGUGCCUAAUACAUGCAAGUCGAACGAGGUGCUUUUGUAGCAAUACGAGAGUAUCCUAGUGGCGAACGGGUGAGUAACGCGUUGGUGACCUGCCCCAAAGUGUGGGAUAACAGUCCGAAAGGAUUGCUAAUACCGCAUGUGGUCUCUGGGUUUAGAAACCGGUGACUAAAGGAGUAAUUCGCUUUGGGAGGGACCUGCGUCCCAUCAGCUAGUUGGUGAGGCAACGGCUCACCAAGGCGGCGACGGGUAGGGGACCUGAGAGGGUGACCCCCCACAAUGGAACUGAAACACGGUCCAUACACCUACGGGUGGCAGCAGUAGGGAAUAUUGGUCAAUGGGCGAAAGCCUGAACCAGCAACGCCGCGUGUGCGAUGAAGGCCUUCGGGUCGUAAAGCACUUUUCUGGGAGAUGAGAAAGGACAGUAUCCCAGGAAUAAGUCUCGGCUAACUACGUGCCAGCCGCCGCCGUAAGAC
rnacentral:rRNA from 1 species